GAUGAACGCUGGCGGCGUGCCUAAUACAUGCAAGUCGAGCGAACGGACGAGAAGCUUGCUUCUCUGAUGUUAGCGGCGGACGGGUGAGUAACACGUGGAUAACCUACCUAUAAGACUGGGAUAACUUCGGGAAACCGGAGCUAAUACCGGAUAAUAUUUUGAACCGCAUGGUUCAAUAGUGAAAGACGGUCUUGCUGUCACUUAUAGAUGGAUCCGCGCUGCAUUAGCUAGUUGGUAAGGUAGCGGCUUACCAAGGCAACGAUGCAUAGCCGACCUGAGAGGGGGUUCGCCCACACUGGACCGGAGACACGUUCCAGACUCCUACGGGAGGCAGCGGUAGGGAAUCUGCCGCAAGGGGCGAAAGCUGGACGGAGCAACGCCGGGGGGGGGAGGAAGGUCUUCGGAUCGUAAAACGCUGUUAUUGGGGAAGAACAUAUGUGUAAGUAACUGUGCACAUCUUGACGGAACCUAAGCAGAAAGCAACGGCUAACUACGU
rnacentral:rRNA from 1 species